rnacentral:rRNA from 1 species
GAUGAACGCUGGCGGCGUGCCUAAUACAUGCAAGUCGAGCGAACGGACGAGAAGCUUGCUUCUCUGAUGUUAGCGGCGGACGGGUGAGUAACAAGUGGAUAACCUACCUAUAAUACUGGGAGAACUUCGGGAAACCGUAGCUAAUACCGGAUAAUAUUUUGAACCGCAUGGUUCAAGAGUGAAAGACGGUCUUGCUGUCACUUAUAGAUGGAUCCGCGCUGCAUUAGCUAGUUGGUAAGGUAACGGCUUACCAAGGCAACGAUGCAUAGCCGACCUGAGAGGGGGAUCGGCCACACGGGAACUGAGACAGCGUCAAGACUCCUACGGGAGGCAGCAGUAGGGAAUCGUCCGCAGUGGGCGAAAGCCUGACGGAGCAACGCCGCGUGAGUGAUGAAGGUCUUCGGAUCGUAAAACUCUGUUAUUAGGGAAGAACAUAUGUGUAAGUAACUGUGCACAUCUUGACGGUACCUAAUCAGAAAGCCACGGCUAACUACGUG